rnacentral:rRNA from 1 species
UCGGCAACGGAUAUCUCGGCUCUUACAUCGAUGAAGAACGUAGCAAAAUGCGAUACUUGGUGUGAAUUGCAGAAUCCCGUGAACCAUCGAGUCUUUGAACGCAAGUUGCGCCCGAAUCCUUUUGGUCGAAGGCACGUCUGCCUGGGUGUC